UCCAACAAAAAGAUGGAAAUAGUUGAAUAUUUUAGGCAAAAAUUCAAAUUUCCACUUCACUAUUAUUAAAGUUCGUAAAAGUUUGAAAAGUUCAAGAAGUGGAAUUCUCCACAUCAAACAAAAACUAAAGAUCUAUCCCAUAACAAGGAUGUGAGAAAGCAAUAGAAAAUGACUAUUCACCAUAACAAGGAUCCUCCUGAAAACAAUCGAAAGAUCUAUCCCAAACCAAAUACCAAACCAUAAAAUUUUGCAUCAUUGUUACUUAUGCAUGUACUGAAUACCAAACCAAAACUAAGAAUCUUCUCAGCAAAACUAGUACUUCAGUGACCACCAUGACGGAUGGCUUGAAAAUAGUGACAAAAUAAGACAAGACUAUCAGUGACCACCGAUCUUGCAGCCUCACGCUUCAUCUCAGCAGCUUUGCCACUGCCUCAGAAAUGCAUAUAAACUUGCUGCACACCACAGGAAGAACAAAGAGGCUCAUAAAAAAACUAGAAACACAAAGGAGGAGCAGGGGAUAAAAACAUGAACAAACUAAAUAGUAAGAAUCCUCUACCUGAAUAACCCAGAUGCUGAUCAAUGAUUCAAGGGCAAAAAAUCCAAAUCCAAUAAAGUAAAAAAUCUGCAAGUGAAAACAAUUGUCAAUAUAACAAUUGUCAUUUAGUUCUAGGAAUUCACUUUCUUAAUUAGAAUAAAAGGAACAUAAAGGAACAAACUGAAGCUACAUUGGGAAAAAAAACAUUAGUACAUUUAGUCUUUGCUACUUUUAUCUGAAAAUCCAGGCCACUUCCUUGCUAUUUAACAAGAUUUGGUACAUUGCUUUUCAAAAUUGAAAGUGGACUCACAUUUUGGGGACAGAGGGAGUAUUAGUUUCAAAUGUUGAGGAAGUAUGGUCAUCCAAAAGAGGCAAUGUAAAUAUUACGAUACUACCAAACUGAAGAAAGAGAAAACUAAUCAAAGUGUGGACACAUAACUUUUAACUUUUAACAAUAACUGCAAUAUAGAAAAUAUAGUUUAUAUAAUCUAUUAUUUCAAGAAUUUAUGUACCUGUAAUAUAGAAAAUAUUAUACUUUCACAGUCAGGUAACACCUCUAUUUUUAUCCGCUCCUAUUGUUUGUGUCAGUUUUGCUAACAGGGCGUAAGUUGAAGGCAUUCUUUGACUUGCUUAUUGAACAUCCUGACCGUGCAAGAACCACAAAUUUAGUCUCUCCAUUUUCUCCUUUUUCUGUAGAUCUUAUUUUCACCGAAAAUCCAUUUUGAUUACCAUAAUUAGUGUAAUAUUCCAUGUAUAAAUUAACGGAAUCAAAUUCCAUUCCGACUUCCGGAUCUCUAAUCACUUCAUCAACUUCUUCACUUUCUACUAAAUCCUCCGCCAUAACACAUUCUUUAAUAUCAUUAAUUCUCAUACUUGAUUGAAACUCAU
rnacentral:lncRNA from 1 species